CCUGGCUUGCAAGUGUCCAAAUGGGGUCCCUUUGGCAGCGCUUGUAUCUCGUAGUUCCCAGCCUUGCAGUCAGACCAGCCCUUGUUACUCUGUUCUGGUAAACAGCUUCUCUUUAGAACUGGGAGCUUCCCAGCUAGCUUGCUGCAGCCGAGGUGUUUUUCAGCUGAAAGGCGCCCCCUGGGUCCUAAGCCUCCUAGAUCGUACCAGAUCGCUAACCCUGAGCCAAGAGCGGAACUCGGCCAAGUCAAGAGUGGCAGAGAGGUUUUGCUUAGCAGCAGACCCGUGUGAGAGCUGCAGGACCGCAUCCCCAGAGCUUUGCUGCUUUUUCCAUCGGUAGGACCCAGGUUCAUUUCUCAGCACCCAGCUCAAGGCUGGCAGUAUCCAGUUCUGGGACCUACAGCUCCCUCUUCUGACUGAGUCUGAGUGAAGAGUUACUUCCAAGACCAGAAAAGACUCAAAGACACUUCAUCACCAUAACCCACCCCACAUCAGUGGCAGCUGGACAGAUUGGAGAAAGUUUCAGGCAGCUCAGCUGGUCUGAGCCUCUCUCAGGUAGAUGGUCUGCUCAAAGCUGUCUCUCAUGAGUUCUUACUACUUACCUAUCUUGGGAGAAAAGGGGCCUAGUGAAUUUUGUCAGUUUCAGGGACUUGCUUCAGCAAAUAAAUAACCUUUGAGUUAUUUACUUUCUGAGUUUUAAUGAGUUUGCCUUCAGGAUGGAG